GAGCGGAUUGCGGUCGGCGGGUGAGUGCCGGCAGGUGAAGCGGAGUUCACGGCAGAAACACGGAGAGACAGAAACACCUGAGCGGGACACAAACCGAGACGAGAGGUCGGAGACAAAAAGUGAUUAGAAAGCCAAGGUUGUCAGGAUGUUCCCUCCUUCUGCUGCCGUUUCUGACACCCAGAGAGGAACUGCAAUGAGAGAAGGAAUCUGAUGCAUCAAGAAAAUCCAGACAAUCCCUUUGCAGUUGGAAGAGGAUGGGAUGUCCCGCGGAGCUUUUGUUUCCUGUGAUAGGAAACUUCAAUCACUUCAGCGCUCUGUUUUCAUUGGUCCACACAGUGUCUCAUGAAGACUCUCGAAGUGUCGUCUGAUUGGUCCCCC
ensembl:lncRNA